GAACAAGGUCCGGACAUAUGGUAAUUUGAGGAAUGUGCUAAUGAAGAGGAUAUUUCUUUCUGCUUUGCAUUUCCGUAUCAACACUCGGUACAAGAGUUCAAAUCCUCCAUUCACCUCAGUUGAACUGGAUCAUAGUGACUCUGGAAGGGAAGGGUGUACUGUGACCACUCUCACGGUGACUGCGGAACCUAAAAAUUGGCAGAAUGCAAUUAAAGUUGCUGUGCAGGAGGUCCGAAGGCUGAAAGAAUUCGGAGUCACAAAGGGUGAGUUAGCUCGUUAUACAGAUGCCUUGCUAAAAGAUAGUGAACAGUUAGCUGCUAUGAUCGACAAUGUUUCAUCAGUGGAUAAUCUGGAUUUUGUCAUGGAGAGUGAUGCACUUGGCCAUACUGUUAUGGAUCAAAGUCAAGGGCAUGAAAGCUUGCUUGCUGUUGCUGGAACUAUCACGUUGGAGGAGGUAAACGCCACUGGUGCUGAAGUGUUGGAAUAUAUUUCUGAUUUUGGAAAACCAUCAGCACCCCUUCCUGCAGCAAUUGUUGCAUGUGUUCCGACAAAGGUGCAUGUUGAAGAAGGAGGAGAACAUGAAUUCAGAAUAUCUCCAGAGGAGAUAACAACUGCUAUCAAAUCUGGUCUGAAGGAACCAAUUGAGCCAGAGCCGGAGCUUGAGGUGCCGACUGAAUUGAUCACGUCAAAACAACUUGAAGAACUGAGGUUGAAGAGGUGCCCGUCCUUUGUUCCAGUGGAGACAAAUUCAAAUAUCACUAAAUCCUUUGACAAUGAAACUGGGAUCGUUCAAAGACGCCUUUCAAAUGGUAUUCCUGUAAAUUAUAAGAUUACAAAAAAUGAAGCCAAUUGUGGGGUGAUGAGACUUAUUGUUGGAGGUGGACGGGCAGCUGAAAGUUCUGAUGAAAAGGGAUCCGUGAUUGUGGGUGUUCGCACUCUGAGUGAAGGGGGCCGUGUUGGAAACUUUUCAAGAGAACAGGUAGAGCUUUUCUGUGUGAAUCACCUAAUAAAUUGCUCACUGGAGUCAACAGAAGAAUUUAUCUGCAUGGAGUUCCGGUUUACUUUACGAGACAAUGCAAUGCGUGCUGCUUUCCAGUUACUUCAUAUGGUGCUUGAGCAUAGCGUUUGGCUGGAUGAUGCAUUUGACCGAGCUAAACAGUUGUACAUGUCAUAUUACCGCUCUAUCCCCAAGAGUUUAGAACGCUCAACUGCCCAUAAGCUCAUGCUAGCUAUGCUAAAUGGAGAUGAGCGUUUUGUUGAGCCGACUCCACAUUCAUUGCAAAACUUAACGCUGGAAAGUGUAAGAGCUGCUGUGAUGGAUCAAUUUGUCAGUGACAACAUGGAGGUGAGUAUGGUUGGAGACUUCUCAGAGGAAGAUAUUGAGUCAUGUAUUCUUGACUAUUUGGGAACUGUCAGACCAACAAAGGGUUUUGAGAGAGCACAACAAUACAGCCCAAUCUUGUUUAGCACUGCUCCCUUUGGUUUGCAGCAUCAACAAGUAUUUUU
rnacentral:misc_RNA from 1 species